UCGAGGGGUAACAUAGAAAAGCUUGCUUUUCUGAUGACGACCGGCGCACGGGUGCGUAACGCGUAUACAAUCUGCCUUAUACUGGGGUAUAGCCUUUAGAAAUGAAGAUUAAUCCCCCAUAGUCUCUUUUAAUGGCAUCAUUACAAGAGUAAAGGUUACGGUAUAAGAUGAGUAUGCGUUCUAUUAGUUUGUUGGUGAGGUAACGGCUCACCAAGACUGCGAUAGAUAGGGGCCCUGAGAGGGGGAUCCCCCACACUGGUACUGAGACACGGACCAGACUCCUACGGGAGGCAGCAGUGAGGAAUAUUGGACAAUGGAGGCAACUCUGAUCCAGCCAUGCCGCGUGCAGGAAGACUGCCCUAUGGGUUGUAAACUGCUUUUAUACAGGAAGAAACCUUGGUACGUGUACCAAGCUGACGGUACUGUAAGAAUAAGGAUCGGCUAA
rnacentral:rRNA from 1 species